rnacentral:lncRNA from 1 species
UUAUGUGUUAUGUGUUUAGGUUAUUCUGUGUAUAUAAAUAUAACAGUAUUAUACUAUGAUGAUAUUAUUAUAAUAUUGGAGAUCUAUAUUAUUAAUAUUAGGUCUUCGGGUAAAGUGAUAUAAAUUGCGUUGCGGUAAUCAACGGUUCAGGCAAGUUUGUUCUUACUUAACUCUAAUAAGAGUGUUUUAUUCAAGCUUAUGGUUAAUCAUUGCUGAUUGCCAUGAAAAUUGUACUCUGUACAUCUUGUAUGUAUAAGUCAGGUAUGAAAGGCUGAUCACCUUCAUUACCAGUUUGUUCAUGUUUAAAACUUGUUCAGUCAAAAGUUUGUUCGUGCUAAUUCUCAAUUAUAUUGAUGAAUUAUAGCCAGCUUAUUAUUCAUACUCUUCAAUCAUGAUAUAUCGUUAUAUUGUUGUAUUUAAACUUGCUGGGAAACUUUCAUGCUCACCCUUGCUAUAUCAUGAUAAAACAUUGCAGAUAAGGCAAAUGUGUUCGGAUACAGGAAAAG